CUUAGAGUGGAGAGUGGUAGACCUUCAGAGCUCCUGACCAUCCUCUGUGAAAAUGUUGUUACAUGUUGCUAACUGAUAUUCUCAUAACUGGUCAAGCUCUUGAGACUAAAUGACUGUUGCUGUGGUAUAGUAGCCCAGUGCUCAUCCAAACAUGAAAGAAAACAAUCACACAACUAUAUGACCUUCCAAGAUUCAGUGAACAUCAUGGGAAAGAAGAAAAUGAAGUUCAGAAGAUUCAAGAAGCUAAUGAAACUUAAAGGGCUAGGUUUUCUUGGUGACCUCUGACCUACCCCAAGUCUAUUCCAGG